GAUGAACGCUGGCGGCGUGCCUAAUACAUGCAAGUCGAGCGGACCAAAGAGAGCUUGCUCUCGGAGGUUAGCGGCGGACGGGUGAGUAGCACGUGGGUAACCUGCCUGUAAGACGGGGAUAACUUCGGGAAACCGAAGCUAAUACCGGAUGAUAAAGAGAAACGCCUGUUUCUUUUCUGAAAGUCGGCCUUGUGCUGACGCUUACAGAUGGGCCCGCGGCGCAUUAGCUAGUUGGUGAGGUAACGGCUCACCAAGGCGACGAUGCGUAGCCGACCUGAGAGGGUGAUCGGCCACACUGGGACUGAGACACGGCCCAGACUCCUACGGGAGGCAGCAGUAGGGAAUCUUCGGCAAUGGACGAAAGUCUGACCGAGCAACGCCGCGUGAGCGAUGAAGGCCUUCGGGUCGUAAAGCUCUGUUGUCAGAGAAGAACAAGUACCGGAGUAACUGCCGGUACCUUGACGGUACCUGACCAGAAAGCCACGGCUAACUACGUGCCAGCCGCCGCCGUAAUAC
rnacentral:rRNA from 1 species